rnacentral:lncRNA from 1 species
CAAGGGGCUCCUGUUUCCCUUCCAGAGAGCCCUGAGUGGCUGGUGGCUUUGUUCACUCAGACACGGGCACGAGCCAUUAGAGUUCCACAGGAUUCACCGUCUCCCACCCUCCAUGCGUGUGUAUUGUAGUAAGGAGAAGAGCACAGCUCCCCUCACCAUACCAACAAAUAUAAACUCACAAAG